rnacentral:rRNA from 1 species
UACGAAGGGGGCUAGCGUUGCUCGGAAUCACUGGGCGUAAGCGCACGUAGGCGGAUUGCUAAGUCAGGGGUGAAAUCCUGGAGCUCAACUCCAGAACUGCCCUUGAUACUGGCGGUCUCGAGUCCGGGAGAGGUGAGUGGAACUGCGAGUGUAGAGGUGAAAUUCGUAGAUAUUCGCAAGAACACCAGUGGCGAAGGCGGCUCACUGGCCCGGUACUGACGCUGAGGUGCGAAAGCGUGGGGAGCAAACAGG